CAGCACCGCGGUAAUACGGAGGGGGCUGGCGUUGUUCGGAAUUACUGGGCGUAAAGCGCACGUAGGCGGCUUGGUAAGUUAGAGGUGAAAGCCCGGAACUCAACUCCGGAAUUGCCUUUAAGACUGCCGAGCUAGUAGGUGAGAGAGGUAAGUGGAAUUCCGAGUGUAGAGGUGAAAUUCGUAGAUUUUCGGAAGAACACCAGUGGCGAAGGCGGCUCACUGGACCGACACUGACGCUGAGGCGCGAAAGCGUGGGGAGCAAACAGGAUUAGAUACCCCUGUAGUCCCUGUCUCUUAUACA
rnacentral:rRNA from 1 species